rnacentral:lncRNA from 1 species
CUGGAUUCUCCAGCUGGGCCCAAUGGAAUCAGAAGAGUCCUUCUAAGUGAAGGAGGGAGGCAGGAGAAUCAGAGUCAGAGUGAUGCAUCGUGGGAAACACUUGACUGUCCAUUGCUAGCUUUGAAGAUGGAGGGAGGGGCCAUGAGUGGAGGAAUGCUGGCCUCUAGAAGCUGGAAAUGGCCGAGAAGUGGAUUCUCCAGAGGGAACACAGCCGUGCUGACACCUUGAUUUUAGCCUGCCACCUCUGCCAACAAGAAGACCUGUGUUAACAAUUAUGAGCUCCUCAAGACCAUUGGAAAGGGUAUCUUCUCCAGCGCGAAGUUGGCCUGGCACAUCCCAACCGUGACAGAGGUGGCUGUUAAAGUCAUUCGCAAGACUUGACACAGCCUCACCAGAAUCAGGGAACUUUUCCGUGAAGUCCACAGCCUGAAGGCCUUGAGUCACCCCCAUAUUGUAAGGUUGUUUGAGGUGAUUGACACGGAGGAAACAUUGUUCUUCGUCCUGGAGGACGUUAGUGGAGGAGACACACUCAAUUACUUAUGAAACCACGGCGGCGUGCUGGAGGAAGAGGCCCAAGGAAAAUUCCGGCAGCUCGGCUCGGCUCUCCGAUACUGCCACCACAGAGGCAUUGUCCACAGGGGCCUGAGCCUGGAGAACCUGCCUCUGGAUGCUGAACUGAAUGUGAAGCUGGCGGACUUCAGCCUCAGCAACGUGUUCGUCGGGUGCAAGCUGAGCGCGUACUGCAGUGGCCUGGUUAUACUGCCUGGAGACCUUCCAGGGCCCAGGCUAUACAGUCCCCCGGCUGAUAUCUGGAACCUUGGCGUUAUUCUUUACGUUAUAGUCACUGGGUCCCACCUAUCCUGGGAGAGGACAUCUGCACAGUGCAGCAGCUGGUGCUGAGCCAGCGAUACCCGCUUCCCAUGUUCCUUUCACUGGAAUGCAGAAGGCUCUUGAAAGAACUGAUGACCCUUGACCCCAGCAAGAAAAGGAGUUUAAAAGAUGUCCUGGAGGACCUGUGGGUCAAUAUGGGCCAGGAGAGACUCAGGCCUUACCAGGAGCUGCCCUGUGACAACAGGGACUCCUGGGUGACACAGGUAAUGAUGAACAUGGGCUUUGAGUGGGACAAGAUCCAGGAUUCCUUAACAAGAAGGAGGUAUGACGAUGUUACGUCCACGUGCCUGAUGCUUAGUUCCAAGAAACCCCGGGUGGAGGGUCACACCGUCACUGUAAGGUCAUUGACCCCAACAGCUGCAGCUCUUCCCAGACCUGCACGGUGCAUCUGAAGGCCUUUGCACUCCCAGGAAGACGUGAUCACAGCGAACAUGGUUUUCGCAUCUGGCUCUGCAAGGCAGAAAAUCAGCAGCCUGGGGAGAAACAGGGGUCAGGGCCAAAGGCCAAAGAGCCUGCCAGUACCCCGGCCAGCCUGGAGUCGAGAACUGCCACCCCCAGCCCAACCCUCCAGAACGGCCCUGGGGCCUUCCCCUCCACCCACAGCACCAGCAACAGUAGUGGCGGCCCAGCGGAAAGCAACUGCCCCCAGGGUGUGUCCUGCAGUGGAACCUUCCUGCACGCUGGGCAGCGUGCUGGGGCGACCCCAGCCUCUCCCUCUGGCCCCAGCCAGGGCCCAAGGAGGUCCGCUGGUAGAUUCUUAAACUUUAUAAGACGCUUCUGUUUCUGUGUGCCCAGCAAGAACCGGCAUGGCAAACACAAUAGAGUGAAGCCAAUUUGAUCUCAUGGCAGGGUCCAAAUCAAAGAUGGUGGGGAGGUCAAGCCAAACCCCUGCGUUUUAAAUGGAGAGCAAGAUGCCGAGCUCCACAGGCUGGCACAGUGGCGAGGGAGUUUGGCCAGAGGUGAGAUGCAUUCAGCUGUGAGCGGGAGCAGUGCGAGAAGCACACGCCAUAUGUGCGCGGACAUCCAGGUGAGAGGAUUUGGUCCAGCAGACGAUGGAGGUGUGCAAGCUGCUGCAGCCUCCUCCACACGGGAUUCACAUCAGAAUGGCAUCUGGCAUCUCCAUGGCCUUCAGAAGCAUAUAUCCAAGAUACUUGGUGAACUUCGAGGACGGCCUGGAGGUGCCUGGGGACACGAGGAGAGGCCACCUCGCUGCAGGUGUGCCCCUUGGCCCCAACCUGGGUGAAACUUCAGAGGCUGGGCUGCUUUUCCUCGGGCACUUCUUCCCUCUCCUGUCCCCUCCAUCUCUUCUUCCAUGUUUGUAGGGUAGAGGGACAGUUCUGGUAAAGUCCUUGGUCUUCCAAGUCUUGUAAUCAACUGGAUGCUCCAGAAAGGUGUGUCACAGUUACUUUUGCAUUCUCCCUACACAGAAAUGGGGCCGUGCAUGCUCCAGUUUGAGAAGUGUGUAGUGAUGUAGUACUUGGAGUUAAUCAGAACGACAAAGUGGAAAAAUGACUUAGAAUUAUUAUGGUAACUCUCAGCAGCAAUGAAUGUGGUUCUGAAGGGAAAAGGCUGGGAGCCAUGGUGCAGGGCAGAAAGGGAGAAACUGUGUACUAACGUUACCUAACAUUUCCAGAAGGACCGAGGGAAACUUCCGAUCCUGUGGCCUUUAUUAUCUACAACCAAGAGGUCCAUGAUAGGGGAACCAAGCCCCGUGAGCCAGCCUGUGUGGGGAGCCAGAGAAGUGGCACGGGUGUGGGCCCAAAAAGCAGCCUCAGGUCACUUCCAGGUGAGACGCUGCCACAGCGUGGCUUGAUGAGCGGUGUGUAGGUCCACAUCAGGGAUCCAAACCCACAAACCCUGGACCACUGAAGCAGAGCGCACAAAUUUAACUGCUAUGCCACUCAGCCGGCCCCCAGAAUAUUUUUAAUAGACAGUGACAGAAAACCCAAAGUGGCUUGAACAAGCAAACAGCAAAGCAGGAGAGAAUGAUUUAUGUAACUAAGAAGUCUAAAGGCAGACAGCUUCAGGCAAGGCUGUACCUGGGUGCUUGAUGCCGUCAGCAGGAAUCGGCUCUCCCAGCCUCUUGGCUUGGCUUCCUCCCCUCUGUACUGGUGUCCUUCUCAAGUGGUUUUUCCGUUGAUGAAAGAAGAUGGCCACCACCGGUCACAGGCCUCAACAGCCCAACGGAAAUAGAACUUCUCUUCCCCAGGAUUCCAAACCUAAGUGCUCCCUGUUCCCCAGGUGGGGGAUGGUGUGGUGCCUGGGAGAGCAGGGCCAAGGGUCCAGCCACCAUGCUCCUCUCUACCUGAUUUCCUGGGAUGAGCCUACUCCCAUGGGCUUCCCGCUCCCCACUGAUUUCUCCUUACAAAGGAUUCACGGCCGCGCUUCUUCCCUCCCUCGCCUCCUUUCCAAGCCCCGCUUCACUGGUAGCAAAGAGGAGCAGGACUUCCUGUUGGAAGACAGGAUUUGGGGUCCACUCCCAGCUUCACGGUCUGCUUUUUGUGUCCCAUAAUAAUCACUUAUUCAGUCCACAAAUGUCUGCUGAGCACCUACUGUGUGCUACUCUGAGUUUCCAAGGCUGUUAGUUGUUCCAGGCAGGGGCCAUCGCCCAGGAGCCUUCCGAAAGAAAUGAGUUCUGUCCA